rnacentral:rRNA from 1 species
UACGUAGGGUGCGAGCGUUGUCCGGAAUUAUUGGGCGUAAAGAGCUCGUAGGCGGUCUGUCGCGUCUGCUGUGAAAACCCGAGGCUCAACCUCGGGCCUGCAGUGGGUACGGGCAGACUAGAGUGCGGUAGGGGAGAAUGGAAUUCCUGGUGUAGCGGUGGAAUGCGUAGAGAUCAGGAGGAACACCCGUGGCGAAGGCGGCUCCCUGGUCCGUUUCUGACGCUGAGACGCGAAAGCGCGGGGAGCGAACGGG